CCGCCAGGCCGGGCCCCUCUGGCAACCGCAAGGUUGCGAUGUCGGACUGGAAUU
rnacentral:ncRNA from 1 species